rnacentral:rRNA from 1 species
UGCACGGUCAUAUCACGUUGAAAACACUGGUUUUCUUCCAAUCACCAAAGUUAAGCAACAUAGAGAUUAGUUAGUACUUAGAUGGUUGACCACUUGGGCUUCUUUUAUCCAUAGCAG